rnacentral:rRNA from 1 species
UGAGGAAUAUUGGUCAAUGGACGCAAGUCUGAACCAGCCAAGUAGCGUGCAGGAUGACGGCCCUAUGGGUUGUAAACUGCUUUUAUAUGGGAAUAAAGUGAGGGACGUGUCCCUUAUUGCAUGUACCAUACGAAUAAGGACCGGCUAAUUCCGUGCCAGCAGCCGCGGUAAUACGGAAGGUCCAGGCGUUAUCCGGAUUUAUUGGGUUUAAAGGGAGCGUAGGCUGUUUGUUAAGCGUGUUGUGAAAUGUAGGAGCUCAACUUUUAGAUUGCAGCGCGAACUGGCAGACUUGAGUGCGCACAACGUAGGCGGAAUUCAUGGUGUAGCGAUGAAAUGCUUAGAUAUCAUGACGAACUCCGAUUGCGAAGGCAGCUUACGGGAGCGCAACUGACGCUAAAGCUCGAAGGUGCGGGUAUCGAACAGG